GACGAACGCGGCGGCGUGCCUAAUACAUGCAAGUAGAACGCACAGUUUAUACCGUAGCUUGCUACACCAUAGACUGUGAGUUGCGAACGGGUGAGUAACGCGCAGGUAACCUGCCUGGUAGCGGGGGAUAACUAUUGGAAACGAUAGCUAAUACCGCAUAAUAUUAAUUAUUGCAUGAUAAUUAAUUGAAAGGUGCAAUUGCACCACUACCGGAUGGACCUGCGUUGUAUUAGCUAGUAGGUGAGGUAACGGCUCACCUAGGCGACGAUACAUAGCCGACCUGAGAGGGUGAUCGGCCACACUGGGACUGAGACACGGCCCAGACUCCUACGGGAGGCAGCAGUAGGGAAUCUUCGGCAAUGGACGAAAGUCUGACCGAGCAACGCCGCGUGAGUGAAGAAGGUUUUCGGAUCGUAAAGCUCUGUUGUAGGAGAAGAACGGGUGUGAGAGUGGAAAGUUCACACUGUGACG
rnacentral:rRNA from 1 species